CCGUCUGCUUUCUUGCUAGAUACGUGUUUAGGAAAAAACUACAAUACUCCUUCAAGGUUUAUACAUCAAUUGCAACGGGUUUUAGGAAUGCAUCACUAUAUUGAUUUUGGUUUAUACAUGAACUGCAGAGAGUUUUAUAAAUGUAUCAUUAUAUUCUUUUGGGUUUAUAUAUGAAUUGCAUGUUUUAGGCAUGUGAAAAUCAGAGCUCAGGCGGCAGGUGAUUUUUUUUUCUUGCUUCUAAUGCUAGGAUGAUGUUCUGUAUACUAAAAAGGACUCGUGCACACUUGCUUUGCUCCUUAGUGUUUAUGAUCAGUUACCAAACAUUAUAAUAGGAUAUACACAUUGCUUCAAAACUGAGUAUGUUCCUUGGUGAUGGUGUAUUUAUUAUGAAAAUAAAUAGAACUGCUUACACAUGGUGAUGUGGUAUUCCUACUCGAUUACUUACCCUGUUUCUGUGACAAAGGCCCGUGAUAGAUAUGGUUAGACACAUAUUGAGCAUCCAAUUUCAUAAAUAUUGAGCAUACAGUUUCAACUUCAACUUAAACAUGAGAUUGUCUUGCUGUCGAGUUGUGUUCAGUUCUUUCCAUGUAGAACUUACUAGAAAUUCUUGCAUACAUCCUAAACAAAUAAAGAGCUGCAUGCAUUUAAAUUAAGCAGUUCCAAAGAAAGAAUUAUUUCAAGUUAUUUUGUUUGGAGAUGAGUUGCCUUUUCUACACCUUUGUGUAAAGGAUGGAGCCUCCACAAUGCCUAUGAGCCAUGCUUUUUCCCACCCAGGAAAAUGGUCUAUUUUCAAGUGGCAUCAUACGGUGAAGGAGGGGAUCUGGAUCAAGAGCCGUAAUGGUGCUUGUGAUGGCAUGUCUAGCACUUGCGCGACCCUGGAGUCUGACUUCUUCUUGCAAGUUGACCAUACUAUUGUGAGAAUCUCGACCAGGAUCAUUCUUUAUAUCAUGUUGGAUCAUCUUGGAAUUCGUAGAGCCAUUUACCGUUGAAGGAUGUACUCACAGAACAAAUCAGUGUGAUUAUGCUUUUCUACACUUCUGUCCAAAGUAAUGGGAUAUGUAUUCUGUACUGUACAGCUACCCUCUAAUGCACUACUCAGCCUUCAGUAUCUGUAUGUACAAAUGACCUAAUUAUUAUGAAUGACAUAUGGAGUGUGCUGCUUUCUAUAUAAAUGGCUUGCUCUAAUUCUGAUUUAUUA